GGGGAAUAUUGCACAAUGGGCGAAAGCCUGAUGCAGCAACGCCGCGUGAGUGAAGAAGGUCUUCGGAUCGUAAAGCUCUGUUGUCGGGGACGAAUGUUGAGACCUAGAACAUAGGUUUCAAAUGACGGUACCUGACGAGGAAGCCACGGCUAACUACGUGCCAGCAGCCGCGGUAAUACGUAGGUGGCGAGCGUUGUCCGGAAUUAUUGGGCGUAAAGGGAGCGCAGGCGGGAAGGUAAGUCUAUCUUAAAAGUGCGGGGCUCAACCCCGUGAGGGGAUAGAAACUAUCAUUCUUGAGUGCAGGAGAGGAAAGCGGAAUUCCUAGUGUAGCGGUGAAAUGCGUAGAUAUUAGGAGGAACACCAGUGGCGAAGGCGGCUUUCUGGACUGUAACUGACGCUGAGGCUCGAAAGCCAGGGGAGCGAAC
rnacentral:rRNA from 1 species